CCUACGGGGGGCAGCAGUGGGGAAUAUUGCACAAUGGGGGAAACCCUGAUGCAGCGACGCCGCGUGAGUGAAGAAGUCUUUCGGUAUGUAAAGCUCUAUCAGCAGGGACGAAAAUGACGGUACCUGUUUAAGAAGCCCCGGCUAACUACGUGCCAGCAGCCGCGGUAAUACGUAGGGGGCAAGCGUUAUCCGGAUUUACUGGGUGUAAAGGGAGCGUAGACGGCAGCACAAGUCUGGAGUGAAAUGCCGGGGCUUAACCCCGGAACUGCUUUGGAAACUGUGCAGCUAGAGUGCAGGAGAGGUAGGUGGAAUUCCUAGUGUAGCGGUGAAAUGCGUAGAUAUUAGGAGGAACACCAGUGGCGAAGGCAGCUUACUGGACUGUAACUGACGUUGAGGCUCGAAAGCGUGGGGAGCAAACAGGAUUAGAUACCCGGGUAGUC
rnacentral:rRNA from 1 species